rnacentral:rRNA from 1 species
GUGUCAGCCGCCGCGGUAAUACGAAGGGGGCUAGCGUUGUUCGGAAUCACUGGGCGUAAAGCGCAUGCAGGCGGAUUGUUAAGUCGGGGGUGAAAUCCCGAGGCUCAACCUCGGAACUGCCUUCGAUACUGGCAAUCUUGAGUCCGGGAGAGGUGAGUGGAACUGCGAGUGUAGAGGUGAAAUUCGUAGAUAUUCGCAAGAACACCAGUGGCGAAGGCGGCUCACUGGCCCGGUACUGACGCUGAGGUGCGAAAGCGUGGGGAGCAAACAGGAUUAGAAACCCGUGUAGUCC